CCUGGGUAUAUAGAUAGAGAGAGAUAGAGAGACAGACAGACAGACGUUUAAACCUGCAGGUCAUCUCAGACCAGGGUAUCCAGACAGACAGACAGACCAUUAAACCUGCAGGUUCUCUCAGACCUGGGUAUAUAGAUAAAAAUAGAGAGAGACAGACAGACAGACGUUUAAACCUGCAGGUCCUCUCAGACCAGGAUAUCCAGACAGACAGACAGACAGACCAUUAAACCUGCAGGUUCUCUCAGACCUGGGUAUAUAGAUAGAGAGAGAUAGAGAGACAGACAGACAGACGUUUAAACCUGCAGGUCCUCUCAGACCAGGAUAUCAAGACAGACAGACAGACCUUUAAACCUGCAGGUUCUCUCAGACCUGGGUAUAUAGAUAGAGAUAGAGAGAGAGAGACAGACAGACGUUUAAACCUGCAGGUCCUCUCAGACCAGGGUAUCCA